CCCGCAGACCGCCUUAUCGUCGUUUUGAGUAAUCAAAAGGGAGGAAAGUCCGGACACCAAAGAGUAGCAUAGCGGGUAACGCCCGUCGGGUUAAGAAAUUAAUUCAGGACCAGUGCAACAGAAAGUAUGUACAGAUAAUGCUGUAGUGAAACCAGGUAAACUCUAUGCGGUGAAAUGUCAAGUAUAUCAGCAUUCGUUAGGUCGAAAAAGGGCUACUCGCCUUUGUUGAAGGGUAGGCAGAUAAAGCCAGCGAGCAAUUGUUGGUUUAGAUAAAUGAUAGGGGUUUUGAGCAAUCAAAAUACAGAAUCCGGCUUACAGGUCUGCAUUUUUU
rnacentral:RNase_P_RNA from 1 species